rnacentral:lncRNA from 1 species
GAACUGCAGACCUUAGAGAAGCACUGAUUACCUGUGGCAGAACCUCAGAACCUACACUGGAAGGAUGGUGGCAGGAGCAGGAUGUCUUCAUAUUAUAUGAAAGCGAUAGGGGUAAAUGUGGAUGCCAUCAUCAUGGAAUCUGAGAAGAGUCAGAAAAAAAAUCUGUAAUGAUGACAAUAUGAAGGUCCUUUCCAGCUCUUUACUGGAUGUGGAAGGCUCCUACUAUCUCAGCGGUGAGGAUGUGAGAGGAUGUGAGGUGAGGAUGUGAGAUAGACUGGGAGAUGCUUUUCUAUCAUCAAGUAGCAGUCACUCACCAAAGUGACAAGUCCCUUCCUUUUGCAGUAAUUCUCAGGAUAGUAAUGGCCAUAGAUUCCCUAGGCUGCAAAAGCACUUUGAAACAUCCUAUAUGCACAUAAAGUACUCUUAGAUAAGAAAACAGUAUUCCAACAGUAUGUCACAUUCUCAAACUGCAUUUUUUUUUCUAAGAAAGAAAAUAUUUUAUGAAAAUGUAUUAAAAAAGGUUUUCAAUGGACUGAAUAAACCACAAACACAGCGAACAUUAGGACAUAAUUACACACUUAUAGAGAAGUCUACCAUGAAAAAAAAGUUUUUUGCUUUUUGCUUUUUUUUUUUUUCCUGAAAACUGAAAAUGACAAGCUCAAAUUAUGAAGUAUACUGUGCACAAUCGAGUGUGAGGAAAUAUCAGCUCACGAAUCAUUAACAGCCCCAGUCUUAUGAACAGAGCAUUAUCAGCUCUGUGAGUCUGAACAAAACAAUUGUCAGCUGCCACCCUUUCUCAACUAGACAAUUAAAAAUCUCAUGUUGUGCAAAGUGAAAAAAUGAGAUCAAACUCAGCAAUCCAUUUGCCUAGUGGAUGCAAAAAGAUCCUUCAGCCUGACAAAGUGUAUUCUCUUCCAGGGAGCAUGUAAGAAGAUGGAUAUUAAUAUUCAGGGGAAGGUCUGGAAUGUUAUAGGUGUGGAAUCUACAGCGCUUUCCAAGGACAGGCAUGUUACCGCAGAUUUGUGCAUUUACGGAAGAUCUUCAGACCUCCUGCCUCUGAGCCUACACGGAGACAAAGGAACAGAAAAAGGCCAUGCUACAGAAACAUGCUACAGAAGCUGUCCAAGUGAGGUAGAAGUACCUAACCUAAGCAAUAUGAACUGCAAAAAAAAACUAGAUGAAGCACCAUUUUUCACCAUGCAUAAGCAUGACUCUGCCAUGCUUAGAUAGUUAAAGAAACUGUGUUGCACAGUACCAGCAGGUAAUGAAGCAUUAUUCAUCUUCAAGCACAUGGAAGAAAAGCAGGCUUGUAAA